rnacentral:rRNA from 1 species
UACGGGAGGGACUAGCGUUGUUCGGAAUACUGGGCGUAAAGCGCGCGUAGGUGGCUCGUAAGUCCGUUGUGAAAGUCGAAAGGCUCAACCUUUGAAAGCCGAUGGAUACUGCGGAGCUAGAGUACGGAAGAGGCGAGUGGAAUUCUGGUGUAGCGGUGAAAUGCGCAGAUAUCAGGAAGAACACCCGUGGCGGAAGGCGGUUCUCUGGGACGGUACUGACGCUGAGACGCGAAAAGCGGUGGGGAGCGAAACAGG